CAAUAAAAAGAGAACAACCACUGCACACCUAUUUAAAUAACAAUAGAAGAAAACAGAACAUGGCACGAAGAGAACAAUUAUUAUUGUGUUCAACACAAGUGAAUAAGCACAAGUGAAAACACAACAUUAAAAAACUUGUUUCUUGAGGAAACAAGAGAACCUGGUCUUUUAAAGAUAAAUUGUUUAUACUUCAAAAUAAAUAUUGUAAAACAACUCUAAUGAUAAAUUUUACGAGUUUGACGGAGAAAGCGUAUAACAUCAGGUUGUUUUACAAAGAAAAUAUAUGGCUCAAAGACAAAGUAAAUCGAAUAUGCUUUUACUCUUUUGAAUACAACUAACUGUUUUUGGUAAAGUGGCCAAAGUUUUCGCUUGAGUAUGGAAAAUAAUGAUUUUAUCGCGAUGUUUAGAUGCUAAGGGAAGUCAAUUCGUUGUAAUGCGAGAUCAGUUGUCAAGUGGUUGGGUAGACAUUGUCGUCGACAACAAAUUCCAAUUGCUGGAAGCAAAUUAAUUUCUCAAAGUACCUUAACAUUUUCACAAUGCAUUGACAGCAUACUUCAUUAAACUCAGAGUGAUAUUUUUAAACAUCGAAACAUUACGAUUAAAUCAUUGGUUCCAUACUCAAUUGAACAUAUAUAAGAACAUUUCUUUCAAGUGCCAAUCAAGAAUUUAAGAAUUUGAAAUUAUCCUGCGGUCUUUCGGAGCCAUAUAUCUUUGAGAGUCGUUUUUAACCUGACAACUUUGAAUUGAUUAUACAUAAUGUUAAUACUAAUUCAAGUGAUGAAAAUGCAGUUCAACAAAAUUUUAAAAGAAUGUUAUUUCUCCAGUUCUGAUUGAUUUUUCGAACAAAAAAAUCAGUUUCAAUUUGUUAUGCCUAAUUGCCUAUGCUUAAGAAAUUAAGAAAAUGGUACAUCUCUCGUCCUCGAUAAAUACAAUAAAAUGAUACACAUUGAUCCACUAUUUUACAAACAAACAUGCCCUAAAUUUCACUUAGGGAAAAGUUCUCCCGUUUUGUAUUAUUUAUAAAUUUAAAACGAAAACACUUUCAAAUGUUCAUAAAAUAUUUUCUUAUUUUUUUACACUUUUAUUUACAUUGGUCAAAAGCAAACGGAAAUUUUCAAUUUCAAUUAGAAAAGAGCUUGUGCAUAAUGAAAAACAGGAAAUAACUUUUGGGUGUAUGUUGCUGACUCAAAAGUAGACAAACAGUUUUGCUCAAAGUCCUCACAAGGAACAAUCAGUUUCCAUAAAAUCCUUAGUUUUAGAAUCUCUCUCAACAAACUUACAAACAUAAUAUUUUAGUACUUUUGCACAAGUGGAUAUAACAAAUCCUACAAGUUGAUUGGUCAAAUUUGACGUAUUAAGCUAUUAUACUCACAUACAGGCUACAGGUGAAUAUAACAAAACUGAAAUUUUCAAAAUGGGGCUAGACGUUUUGUGGAAGUUACUGAUAAAGAAAUAAGCGAAAUUAAAAUAAAUUCAGUCCCAAAAAACACAAAAGACUUGUGUAUAAAUACCAAAACAAUUAUUCGCCUCAGG